AACGAACGCUGGCGGCAUGCCUAACACAUGCAAGUCGAACGAGACCUUCGGGUCUAGUGGCGCACGGGUGCGUAACGCGUGGGAACCUGCCUUUAGGUUCGGAAUAACUCAGAGAAAUUUGAGCUAAUACCGGAUGAUGUCUUCGGACCAAAGAUUUAUCGCCUUUAGAUGGGCCCGCGUUGGAUUAGCUAGUUGGUGGGGUAAAGGCCUACCAAGGCGACGAUCCAUAGCUGGUCUGAGAGGAUGAUCAGCCACACUGGGACUGAGACGCGGCCCAGACUCCUACGGGAGGCAGCAGUGGGGAAUAUUGGACAAUGGGCGAAAGCCUGAUCCAGCAAUGCCGCGUGAGUGAUGAAGGCCUUAGGGUUGUAAAGCUCUUUUACCCGAGAUGAUAAUGACAGUAUCGGGAGAAUAAGCUCCGGCUAACUCCGU
rnacentral:rRNA from 1 species